rnacentral:rRNA from 1 species
AUGCAAGUCGAACGGUGAAGCCCCGCUUGCGGGGUGGAUCAGUGGCGAACGGGUGAGUAACACGUGAGCAACCUGCCCCUGACUCUGGGAUAAGCGCUGGAAACGGCGUCUAAUACUGGAUACGAGACGUGAUCGCAUGGUCAACGUUUGGAAAGAUUUUUCGGUUGGGGAUGGGCUCGCGGCCUAUCAGCUUGUUGGUGAGGUAAUGGCUCACCAAGGCGUCGACGGGUAGCCGGCCUGAGAGGGUGACCGGCCACACUGGGACUGAGACACGGCCCAGACUCCUACGGGAGGCAGCAGUGGGGAAUAUUGCACAAUGGGCGCAAGCCUGAUGCAGCAACGCCGCGUGAGGGAUGACGGCCUUCGGGUUGUAAACCUCUUUUAGCAGGGAAGAAGCGAGAGUGACGGUACCUGCAGAAAAAGCACCGGCUAACUACGUGCCAGCAGCCGCGGUAAUACGUAGGGUGCAAGCGUUAUCCGGAAUUAUUGGGCGUAAAGAGCUCGUAGGCGGUUUGUCGCGUCUGCUGUGAAAUCUGGGGGCUCAACCCCCAGCCUGCAGUGGGUACGGGCAGACUAGAGUGCGGUAGGGGAGAUUGGAAUUCCUGGUGUAGCGGUGGAAUGCGCAGAUAUCAGGAGGAACACCGAUGGCGAAGGCAGAUCUCUGGGCCGUAACUGACGCUGAGGAGCGAAAGGGUGGGGAGCAAACAGGCUUAGAUACCCUGGUAGUCCACCCCGUAAACGUUGGGAACUAGUUGUGGGGUCCAUUCCACGGA